ensembl:ribozyme RNaseP_nuc Nuclear RNase P
GGCAGACACAGCCACACAGGCAUCCAGGGCCCCUAGAAAUUCUAAGAGUGGUGCCUCCUGCAGCCCUAACCAUCUCUCCCUGAGUGGAGAGGUGAGUUUCCAGAGAGCAGGGCUCCACACCUGGACAGACUGGGCAGGAGAGGCCCUGAGUAAGCAGAUGUGCCCCUUCCCAGAGCUUGGAACAGACUCCUAGUCACUCAUUUUGCUCAGUAAAUGGCUAUUCUUCUUGCCAGGAGAAGUGCUUGCU